rnacentral:rRNA from 1 species
AUUGAACGCUGGCGGCAGGCUUAACACAUGCAAGUCGAGCGAGCGGCGGACGGGUGAGUAAUGUCUGGGAACAUGCCUGAUGGAGGGGUAUCACUACUGGUAACGGUAGCUACUACCGCAUACAGUAAGAUGUGCCCAGAUGGGAUUAUCUAGUGGGUGGGGUAAUGGCUCACCUAGGCGACGAUCCCUAGCAGGUCUGAGAGGAGGACCAGCCACACUGGAACUGAGACACGUCCCAGACGCCGACGGGAGGCAGCAGUGGGGAAUAUUGCACAAUGGGCGCAAUCCUGAUGCAGCCAUGCCGCGUGUGUGAAGAAGGCCUUCGGGUUGUAAAGCACUUUCAGCGAGGAGGCGGUACUUGCAGAAGAAGCACCGGCUAACUCCGUGCCAGCAGCGGCGGUAAUUC